UCAAACUAAUAAAAAAUUUCAACUUGUAAAAUACAUAAAACGUUUGAUAUGGAAAAAUAACUUUAUUGACAUCCUGGAGAAAAAUAGCGUAUAUCUUAAUGAGAAAAAAGCAGGACCAAAACUUUUUCCCGUGUUUGCGAUAUAAUCUGUGGUGACUGUUAAUUGUCGCGAUUUGGGGUUAUGUUACGAGGGGAAAAAAUGUAAAUAGCGGAAUUGAUCGUUACAUAUUUUACCUGACGUUCAUAUUACUUAAAUUAACUCAUGAGUAGUGUUAAAGUAGGUUUUUUUUUUUAAAUUUUUUAGGUCAUAUUAACAAGCAUCGCAUGCCCAUAUUUCAUCAAGAGAAACGGCGGCAUAACAAGUUCAAGCCUCCAAGACAGCCGCAGCUCAGUGGAGGGCGGGCGAGCGGCUGGCUGUUCGCACUGCGGCAGGCAACUGCUCCCUGAUGAUGGCGACUGCAACGUCAACCAAAAUGUUGGUGAUAUCUUCACCUUCAAUGCGGCUACAACCCAGAAGCCAAACAACUCCAGACAAUAGCAGGGAACGCCUGUGAUCUUUAUUAAUUUUUGUGAUUGGAUAAAAGUGAGGUCACCAGACCAUGUGGUUUUUUCCUAGAGUAAUCUCUGUUCAAAAAACCCCUGCUACAAGGGGUCAGAAAUUGUAUACUGCUAUGGUUUUGUAAGGGCUUUGCUGUGAUUGGACGAGAAGUCACGCACCUGCAACUUCUGUCAGGCAGAUGCGACUGUGAAGCCUUGUUCAUUUUAGUCUGAGUCUGUGCUAGGUACAGAAAGGUCGCAGUUGGGUGAGGACUCAUAAAUAAUUAUGUAAGUUUAUACCGCAUACAAUAAACUUUUUUUUCAUUUUUGGAACUUUUAAACUAGAAUUUUUCAUCCAGAGUGGUCGGUAAGAGCCCAAUACAAGGAUCGGGUGAACUCUGUCUUUGUUCCGUACUGUGAGUUCGUGUGUAACCACAGAACUUAACUAUGAACUAUCCUUAAAUAUUUAUCCUUUAGUGUUUAGUAUGUGCAAACUGUCAACGUGUUUGGUUUUGGAGUUGGAGAAGAGGUUUUGUAUCCUCUUCAUGUACUUUUUUUUUGUGGCUGCAUAAUGGGUGCCAUGAUGACUGUGAAUUUUCUUCUAGUUUAAUAAAAUUACAUUAAAAUCAGUUGAUACUAACAACAGUAUCUGAAAAAUAUAUACAUAAUUUUCAGCACCCAACUCAUGUUUUCAAGUGUUAAUGAACUAUGUAUGUCCAUUCCUAGGUCAAACAUUUGCUAGCCGGGUGGUAUGGGGUGUGAUAAGAUAAACUCAUCACAUAUUCUUUAUGGUAACCAGUACCAGCUUUACCAAAACAAGAUACAGUGAAAUCUAAUUACAACAUAGUCAAACCUCGCUCGUACGGCCCCCGGUUCAUACGUACACCUCGGUCGUACGUACAGAUU